rnacentral:rRNA from 1 species
UACGUAGGGUGCAAGCGUUGUCCGGAAUUAUUGGGCGUAAAGAGCUCGUAGGCGGUUUGUCGCGUCUGCUGUGAAAACCCGAGGCUCAACCUCGGGCCUGCAGUGGGUACGGGCAGACUAGAGUGCGGUAGGGGAGAUUGGAAUUCCUGGUGUAGCGGUGGAAUGCGCAGAUAUCAGGAGGAACACCAAUGGCGAAGGCAGAUCUCUGGACCAUAACUGACGCUGAGGCGCGAAAGCUAGGGGAGCAAACAGG